rnacentral:rRNA from 1 species
UACCGCAUAAGCUCUAGGAGGAAAGCUGGGGACCGUAAGGCCUGGCGCUUCAAGAUUAGCCUGCGUCCGAUUAGCUAGUUGGUGGGGUUAAGGGGCCUACCAAGGCGACGAUCGGUAGCUGGUCUGAGAGGAUGGCCAGCCACACUGGGACUGAGACACGGCCCAGACUCCUACGGGAGGCAGCAGUGGGGAAUAUUGGACAAUGGGGCAACCCUGAUCCAGCAAUGCCGCGUGUGUGAAGAAGGCCUGAGGGUUGUAAAGCACUUUCAGUGGGAGGAGGAUUGACAGGUUAAGAGCUAGUUAAUUGGACGUUACCCACAGAAGAAGCACCGGCUAACUCCGUG